UCGAGCGAAUGGAUUGAGAGCUUGCUCUCAUGAAGUUAGCGGCGGACGGGUGAGUAACACGUGGGUAACCUGCCCAUAAGACUGGGAUAACUCCGGGAAACCGGGGCUAAUACCGGAUAACAUUUUGAACUGCAUGGUUCGAAAUUGAAAGGCGGCUUCGGCUGUCACUUAUGGAUGGACCCGCGUCGCAUUAGCUAGUUGGUGAGGUAACGGCUCACCAAGGCAACGAUGCGUAGCCGACCUGAGAGGGUGAUCGGCCACACUGGGACUGAGACACGGCCCAGACUCCUACGGGAGGCAGCAGUAGGGAAUCUUCCGCAAUGGACGAAAGUCUGACGGAGCAACGCCGCGUGAGUGAUGAAGGCUUUCGGGUCGUAAAACUCUGUUGUUAGGGAAGAACAAGUGCUAGUUGAAUAAGCUGGCACCUUGACGGUACCUAACCAGAAAGCCACGGCUAACUACGUGCCAGCAGCCGCGGUAAUACGUAGGUGGCAAGCGUUAUCCGGAAUUAU
rnacentral:rRNA from 2 species